AGUUGGAGAAGAUGCCCUGCUAGAUGGGGGCUCGAAGCCUGUCCUUUCAAACACCGAAGGGGAUGAUGAUGCUACUCGUCCGAUAAUCACUAAACAGAUGACCACAGUUGGAGACGAUGCCCUGCUAGAUGGGGGCUCGAAGCCUGUCCUUUCAAACACCGAAGGGGAUGAUGAUGCUACUCGUCCGAUAAUCACUAAACAGAUGACCACAGUUGGAGACGAUGCCCUGCUAGAUGGGGGCUCGAAGCCUGUCCUUUCAAACACCGAAGGGGAUGAUGAUGCUACUCGUCCGAUAAUCACUAAACAGAUGACCACAGUUGGAGACGAUGCCCUGCUAGAUGGGGGCUCGAAGCCUGUCCUUUCAAACACCGAAGGGGAUGAUGUUGCUACUCGUCCGAUAAUCACUAAACAGAUCCCAAAUGAAAAUGAGAUUUUCGUCCCAAGACUGAGACAAACUAAAAGCAUCAUAGUAAGUGGCAAAAAUGACAUUUGUUCAUAGUGUGGAUCAACCAUAUACAAGUAUUCUAUACAAAUGUAUACAUUUUCUUUUUUAAUUAAAAAAAUUUAAUGUAUCUGUAUGGCUCUACUGUACGGAACUUAUCUGGAUUGUUUAGGGCUUCAAUCAAUAAUAAUUUUCAUCAACUAAUCAGUUGAUUACUUUCUCAAUAAAUAAUUUUUCUAAUUUGUGCUCUAUAAUACCAGAGAACAGUUUAAAAUGGGCUUAAAGAAAAAGUGAUGCACAAGUCGAUAUCAUUCAGCGUAAUUUAAGAUCUACUGUCCCAAAAC
ensembl:lncRNA